rnacentral:rRNA from 1 species
CAGCCGCCGCGGUAAUACGGAGGGCGCGAGCGUUGUCCGGAUUCACUGGGCGUAAAGCGGGUGUAGGCGGUCGGGUAAGUCGGGCGUGAAAUCCCGGGGCUUAACCUCGGGUUUGCGUUCGAUACUUGGUGGCUGGAGUGCGGGAGAGGGAAGUGGAAUUCCCGGUGUAGCGGUGAAAUGCGUAGAUAUCGGGAGGAACGCCGGUGGCGAAGGCGGCUUCCUGGCCCGUUACUGACGCUGAGGCACGAAAGCCAGGGGAGCGAACCGGAUUAGAUACCCGGGUAGUCCUGGCUGUAAACCAUGGGCGCUAGGUGUGGGUGGUGGUGAGCCAUCUGUGCCGAAGCUAACGCGUUAAGCGCCCCGCCUGGGGAGUACGGUCGCAAGGCUGAAACUUAAAGGAAUUGGCGGG